rnacentral:rRNA from 1 species
CUCCCCUANGGGAACCUGGGAGGGAUCAUUACAGGGUUGCCAAACUCCCCUAUAACAAUGUGGACGUAUCCUAAACCCUUGCUUCGGCGGGCGGCCCGGGGUCCUUCCCGGCAGCCCCUCGGCCCUCGCGGGCGCCCGCCGGAGGUAAACCAAACUAAUGCAUUGUAUGGCCUCUCUGAGUCUUCUGUACUGAAUAAGUCAAAACUUUCAACAACGGAUCUCUUGGUUCUGGCAUCGAUGAAGAACGCAGCGAAAUGCGAUAAGUAAUGUGAAUUGCAGAAUUCAGUGAAUCAUCGAAUCUGUGAACGCACAUUGCGCCCGCCAGUAUUCUGGCGGGCAUGCCUGUUCGAGCGUCAUUUCAACCAUCAAGCCCCGGGCUUGUGUUGGGGACCUGCGGCUGCCGCAGGCCCUGAAAUGCAGUGGCGGGCUCGCUGUCACUCCGAGCGUAGUAAUUACAUCUAGCUACGGGCGUGCUGCGGGUUCCGCCCGUUAAAAGCCUUAUGUACCCAAGGUUGAUCUCGGAUCAGGUAGGAUGACCGGCUGAACUUAGCAUAUCAAUAGCGGGAGGAGUCNG